GCGCCCCCGGCGAUAAGGUUGCCAAGUGAGGUGGUCUUCCUCUCUGAGGAUAGCCGGGGGUGUUUUA
rnacentral:ncRNA from 1 species